rnacentral:rRNA from 1 species
GUGGUAAACGAUGUGGGAAGGCUUAGACAGCUAGGAGGUUGGCUUAGAAGCAGCCACCCUUUAAAGAAAGCGUAAUAGCUCACUAGUCGAGUCGGCCUGCGCGGAAGAUGUAACGGGGCUCAAACCACACACCGAAGCUACGGGUGCAUCGCAAGAUGCGCGGUAGAGGAGCGUUCUGUAAGCCUGUGAAGGUGAGUUGAGAAGCUUGCUGGAGGUAUCAGAAGUGCGAAUGCUGACAUGAGUAACGACAAUGGGAGUGAAAAACUCCCACGCCGAAAGACCAAGGGUUCCUGCGCAACGUUAAUCGACGCAGGGUUAGUCGGCCCCUAAGGCGAGGCAGAAAUGCGUAGUCGAUGGGAAACAGGUUAAUAUUCCUGUACUUCUAGUUACUGCGAUGGAGGGACGGAGAAGGCUAGGCCAGCUUGGCGUUGGUUGUCCAAGUUUAAGGUUGUAGGCUGRRCACUUAGGCAAAUCCGGGUGUUCAAGGCCGAGAGCUGAUGACGAGCUUUCUUUUAGAGAGCGAAGUGGUUGAUGCCAUGCUUCCAGGAAAAGCUUCUAAGCUUCAGGUAACUAGGAACCGUACCCGAAACCGACACAGGUGGUCGGGUAGAGAAUACCAAGGCGCUUGAGAGAACUCGGGUGAAGGAACUAGGCAAAAUGGCACCGUAACUUCGGGAGAAGGUGCGCCGGUGAGGGUGAAGUAUUUACUGCGUAAGCCCACGCCGGUCGAAGAUACCAGGCCGCUGCGACUGUUUAUUAAAAACACAGCACUCUGCAAACACGAAAGUGGACGUAUAGGGUGUGACGCCUGCCCGGUGCCGGAAGGUUAAUUGAUGGGGUUAGCGAAAGCGAAGCUCUUGAUCGAAGCCCCGGUAAACGGCGGCCGUAACUAUAACGGUCCUAAGGUAGCGAAAUUCCUUGUCGGGUAAGUUCCGACCUGCACGAAUGGCGUAACGAUGGCGGCGCUGUCUCCACCCGAGACUCAGUGAAAUUGAAAUCGCUGUGAAGAUGCAGUGUAUCCGCGGCUAGACGGAAAGACCCCGUGAACCUUUACUGUAGCUUUGCACUGGACUUUGAGCCUGCUUGUGUAGGAUAGGUGGGAGGCUUUGAAGCGUGGACGCCAGUUCGCGUGGAGCCAACCUUGAAAUACCACCCUGGCAUGCUUGAGGUUCUAACUCUGAUCCGUUAUCCGGAUCGAGGACAGUGUAUGGUGGGCAGUUUGACUGGGGCGGUCUCCUCCUAAAGAGUAACGGAGGAGUACGAAGGUGCGCUCAGACCGGUCGGAAAUCGGUCGCAGAGUAUAAAGGCAAAAGCGCGCUUGACUGCGAGACAGACACGUCGAGCAGGUACGAAAGUAGGUCUUAGUGAUCCGGUGGUUCUGUAUGGAAGGGCCAUCGCUCAACGGAUAAAAGGUACUCCGGGGAUAACAGGCUGAUACCGCCCAAGAGUUCAUAUCGACGGCGGUGUUUGGCACCUCGAUGUCGGCUCAUCACAUCCUGGGGCUGAAGCCGGUCCCAAGGGUAUGGCUGUUCGCCAUUUAAAGUGGUACGCGAGCUGGGUUUAGAACGUCGUGAGACAGUUCGGUCCCUAUCUGCCGUGGACGUUUGAGAUUUGAGAGGGGCUGCUCCUAGUACGAGAGGACCGGAGUGGACGAACCUCUGGUGUUCCGGUUGUCACGCCAGUGGCAYUGCCGGGUAGCUAUGUUCGGAAUAGAUAACCGCUGAAAGCAUCUAAGCGGGAAACUAGCCUCAAGAUGAGAUCUCACUGGGAACUUGAUUCCCCUGAAGGGCCGUCGAAGACUACGACGUUGAUAGGUCGGGUGUGUAAGCGCUGUGAGGCGUUGAGCUAACCGAUACUAAUUGCCCGUGAGGCUUGACCAU